UUGGUCCGUCCAGUCCACUUAUCGAAAUGCUUGGUGUGUGCGCAAAGGUGGUGGUGACAUGUGCGCUGGACUGGUGUCUUCGGCUAUAAUUCCUGAUUCUGCCACACAAGUAACAACCCAACCCAAUUAUGCACAGAAGUGCUGGUAUUCCAACGCCUAUUAUUAUACCAUAUUUUGCACUCCGUGGGAGACCAUGGGCAUUGCUUGGUAGAUUAAAGCAUCCAAUUUCAAGAGUCGAAGCAUCUUUGAACCCACAAUUCCCACCGCUCAGUUCGCAUUCUACACAAUCCGGAAAAUCCCAUAUCAACGAGGCAUCCCCUUCGGAAGAGAGAGGCCAAUAGACCGGAACUUUAACCCUUUGCGCCUUCACCGUACACGACGGUAUCUGCGGUACGUAUCCUUCAUAAAAGGUAGGUAUAGCCACAAUAGUGAAGUUUUUGUCGCUAAGACAGUGAAUCCUCCUUGACGAAGAAGGGAAGGACUCAAAGAAGUCGGAGAAAUUCGAUGAGCAAUUAAGGAACGAGAAGGCUUUAUAAGAGACAGUAUCGAAAGAUGAUCCCGACAGACUAAAAUUGUUGAGGAGGCGCUGUGCGAAGCAGUGUCCAGGGUCUGUAAUCCGAACCUCUUGAUUUCGGUAAUCGAUGGAUUUGACGAUGAAGUUUCCGGAGCGAGGGAGAUUGAGGAUUGUUUGGCCUGUUUCAUUACAGGAAAGAUUGAAACCUGGGUAGUUGCAUCCACGGCCGUCAAGCCCGAAAGGGAAUCG
rnacentral:misc_RNA from 1 species